UACGUAGGGGGCAAGCGUUGUCCGGAAUCAUUGGGCGUAAAGAGCGUGUAGGCGGCCCGGUAAGUCCGCUGUGAAAGUCCAGGGCUCAACCCUGGGAUGCCGGUGGAUACUGUCGGGCUCGAGUCCGGAAGAGGAGUGUGGAAUUCCUGGUGUAGCGGUGAAAUGCGCAGAUAUCAGGAGGAACACCAAUGGCGAAGGCAGCACUCUGGGACGCGACUGACGCUGAGACGCGAAAGCGUGGGGAGCAAAC
rnacentral:rRNA from 1 species